UACGGGGGGGGCAAGCGUUGUUCGGAAUUACUGGGCGUAAAGGGCGCGUAGGCGGUCUUCUAAGUCGGACGUGAAAUCCCUCGGCUUAACCGAGGAACUGCGUCCGAUACUGAAAGGCUUGAAUCCGGGAGAGGGAUGUGGAAUUCCAGGUGUAGCGGUGAAAUGCGUAGAUAUCUGGAGGAACACCGGUGGCGAAGGCGGCAUCCUGGACCGGUAUUGACGCUGAGGCGCGAAAGCUAGGGGAGCAAACGGG
rnacentral:rRNA from 1 species